UAUUAGUGUCGUUACUUGUUUAUCGACCAAUAUUCUUUCGUUUUCAUAUCUAGAUUUUAGAGCAUCCCAAGCAUUGUAUAAGCCAAUAUUCUUUCGAUUUCGAUUCUUGAUUUAAGAGCUUCCCAAGCUAAAUUGAAAUUAUUGUCAUUUAGUGCGAACUGUUUACUAUUACGCCUGCUUGACCUUUAGUUUUGUAUCGGAGGUUAUACAAUUUUUGCGCUUUUGAUGAUUAAGGAUGGUUUAUGUAAACGGCUGUAAACAUGUCCGAAAGGACGGCCGUUGUUGAAAUAUUUCUGUGUCCGACGCGGGCACCUUGAGAUGGAUACCUAAAAUUGCCUCUUGACUGUGAAUAUGUGGCAGCUCUACUCUCGGAGGAGGAGAAGGUGCAAUUGCUUUUAUUAGGUUUAAUUAAUCAUUGAUCAUAUUGGUCUUAGCAAUUUUCAUAUUUUGCGUAAGCCGAAGAUUUAAAGUUUUCUGGUCGAUUUGGGACGUUAGAUUCUACUAUGGCGUCUAUGCAGCUUAGGAACGUGUCCAAAAUCUUGAAUUUUUUUUGUUAGGUAGCGACCUGUUUUGUGCGUGUAGCUUCUGCAGAUCUCUAAUUAUCAAGAGUUAAAUAACCAAAUUAAAGAUAUUGCCAAAAAUUCAUUUGUCUUAAAACUUUUAAAAAACGACAUUCAUUAAAUAAGUCACAUCAAGUGAUGACUACAGAUCGAGUAUCGUGGUUUGCUUACGAAGACAAACAAACGCGCGAUUAAAAACCUCCAUCAUUCGUGUCGUAUGAGUGCUAUUGUCACUGAUUUAAAGGAUUAAGGAUUAAAUGUAGUAAACAAACUUAUGUGGAAAGCACGAGAGUCAUUAAACAUGUUUCUAGCUACCUUUGAUACUAAUGAAGAUGUCAAGAAAAUUUUUAAAGUUAAACAUAUUUUUCACUUCGUAGAUCUCAUUGAGCUUGUUAGAAAUUCUAAACUUAUUGUUCAAUAUAAAAAUUACCAGGCAUUUGGACAUACCAAGAAUUUCUGCUCAAAGUUGUGAAAAGUAACUCAAAAGUAAUGAACUCAAAAAACAAUAACUUGACUGAAGACCUAUUGACUUAAAUUCUAGAGAUAUAAAAUAAACAAGAAAAAUUCAUUUUCGAUCUCUGCAGUCGUUUAGAUAACCUCAAAAAUUAAAAAACAAUAAAAAUCUAUGGUAUGAAUGGUGCUCCCCGAGUAAUGAUAUGGAACGAAAAUGGAUUAUUAAAGCACCAAGAAGAACUUCAAAUUAUUUUGGAAAAAGGAAAAAUAGAUAUAUGUCUAAUAUCCGAAACUCAUUUUACGACACUCAGCCAAUUCACCCUAGUAAUUGUGCGAGGGGAGAUACUGCUGCUAUUAUUAAAAACGAUAUUGAGCAUUAUGAGGAUGGAAAAACCAGUACGCAAAAUAUUCAAAUCACAACUUUACAUUAAAAACGCGUUUAAAUUACUGCAAUAUAUUGGCCGCCGAGGUACAAAAUUCUCGUUGAUGAAUAUAAAGAACUUUUCAAUAUGCACACCCACAAAUGUAUUAUGGGUGGCGACUUUAAUGCGAAGCAUGUCUACUGGGGAUCGCGCCUAACGACAUCAAAAGGACGGGAUUUAUUCCAGGCAGCUCAGGAAACCGGAUGAAAGUAUUCCGAAAUUUCAAAAUUAUAGGUUCAAAUUACCCUAAAGACUUUAGCCGUCCCAGGCUUUCGGGGAUAAAAUGGGUAAUACAGGAAUCCAAAACCUAGAAACAUAAAAUAUUAGAGAGCAUUGAUGGUAAGGAUUAUGUUAUACCUUCUAUGACAAUGUUACUUUUUCUUGUAGAACUCAAAAAAAAACCCUGGUCGAUCCAAUAUCGUGGUGUACCAAGGUUUUUUUGCGCAGAACUUUUUUUUGCGUUGGCGGCCUUUGGCUGCCCUUCAAAAAAUAACCCUGGUCGGUGCAACACCGACUUUUACCAAGGUUUUUUUGCGUAGAAUUUCUAUUUGCGUGAAUAGUAGGCUAUAUCUAUACAUAUUCUUGAUCUGAGGACCUCCUCUAUCCGCCCAUAUUCUGGGACGGUAUUCUAAAGCCGAUCUAAAAGUUCUCCCAACCUGGAAAAGAAAAUUACGACAGGAACGGCAACAAACACGCUCACCACUUGACAAAAUCAAUUUUAAUAGAGCAACAGCUGAAUUAAAACAAGAAAUUACUCAUAUUAAGAAUGAGUCAAUACACAAAUCCUUAUCUCAACUAUCGGCUAACAAAAAAGAUGAUUACUCGCUCUGGAAAAUUACCAAAUAUCUUAAACGUCCAACAUGCCAGGUUGCGCCAUAAAAAAUUAGCAGUAAUAAAUGGGCUAGAAGUGAUUGUGAUAAACCAAAUGCAUUCGUAACACACCGAGCUGAAAAUUUUCUUUCAAAUGAGAGUAGUGAAAAUGCGUUCCUCAAUAAUGUUCAACCAGAUCAUGCAACAAUUACAGAAAUCUCAAUUUGUUAGCUCAAAAAUUCAAUCUAAUAACAGCUGAAGUUUUAAAGCAGUUACCACCAAAAGUUUAUUAAAUCUCACGUAUAUUUUCAAUACAUACGUCUGACACAUUUUCCAAGUCCCUGGAAACUUGCUGACGUUGUAAUGUUUCCUAAACUAAAUUGUAUCAAAAAAUGUAUAGAAUAUUUGUGUAACGGUUUGUAAAAUCUAUGUAUUUCGUGCAACAAGUUGAUUAUUUUGACAUAUAUUGAUAAUAUAAUUACUAUUCAUGAAGUGCACCUUAUUUUAUGUGUGAAACAAGAGAAUGAAUUCUCCAAAAUAAAAGAGAUUGACGCAGGCGUACCACAGGGAACUAUUUUAGGACAAUUUUGUAUAUUAUUUGUACUAGAGACUUACUGUUAGCACCAAACAGUAUGACUGUCACUUAAUCGGAAAUUGUCAAAAAUGGAAUGGCUGUCAUAAUCAGAGCUGGCGUUUCGCUGACAGCUUUCCAUGUAAUAGAGGACUAACACAUAAGUGCUGUCAAAAUUUACAAAAUGAAACUACCGUCAAGUGUAGUUUUCAGAGUUUAUCUUAUAUUUGAAAACCAGGGGCAAUGGUAAAAAAAACGUCUUCAGAGUCUUCUAUACACUCUGUACACGUUGGACAGUACGGACUAUAUUCAUGACGAAAUUUGUAAAGGUUGCUUCUAAAGCACCCAUAUGCACUUAGUAUUUGGGUCAGGUGGGAAUCCACCUAUCUAUCCACGGUAUGAUGUCUGGUAUAACACUGUGUGUCCACCGUCCUUUGGAUGAGGUUUGCCACCGUUGCUGCCACAUUGUGAUGCUUUUGCAUUUUUCCUCUCUUUUUGCGUCGUGGGCGUAAUCGGACCACUGCCACGCCCACAAAACGCCAUUAAUCAAAAACAAAUAACUUGCCAUAACUAAGCUCCGCAAUAAGAUACAAGACUGUUAUUUGGUACACAGGAUCACAUUAGGGAGGGGCAUCUGCAGUUAAAACUUUUUUUAAAAGUGGGCGUGGUCCCGCCUCUAAUAGGUUUAAUGUGCAUAUCUCCUAAACCGCUAAUGCUAUAAUAACAAAAUUCACUGGAAGCAAAUGCUUUUAGCACUUCUAUUGACGGUGUGAAAAUAGUUGAAAUCGGGUGGCAACUCCGCCCACUCCCCAUAUAACGGUACUGUUAAAAACUACUAAAAGCGCGAUAAAUCAAGCACAAAACACGCCAGAGACAUUAAAUUUUAUCUCUGAGAUGGUAUAAGAUGACUUUAUAGGAACCGCGUUCAAAAUUAGACAGUGGGCGUGGCACAGCCCACUUUUAGGUGAAAACCCAUAUGUUGAGAUCUGCUUAACCGAUUUCAACCAAAUUCGGUGCGUAACGUUCUUUUCAUGUUUCUAUGUCAUAGUGCGAAAAUGGGCGAAAUCGGAUUACAACCACGCCUAUUUUCCAUAUGACACCAUUUUAAAUACCACUUGAUUCUUUCACUUUCCACUAUGCAAAUCAAGCAACAAUGAUUAUAUCGGCGUAAAACUUUGCGUGAAUAAUGCAAUUAAAGUAUGCCACCUUGCGGCCAAAAAUUGUCUAAAUCGAAACAAAACUGUUCAAACCCCUAAGUAUUAAAUAUGUGGACCCCAGUGCCUAUAGUUGACCUUCUACCGAAAAUAUCAGUCAAUCCACAAAGAAAUCUCAAACGAGUAUACCAUUUGACUUUGCGAGAGUAUAAAAUGUUCGGUUACAUCCGAACUUAGCCCUUCCUUACUUGUUUUUCUUUAUUUUUCCUGGAGCUAAUGAGCAAGACUUCUUUUUGCUCAGCCAACUCUAAGCUCAUGGUAGCAAACCAUCGUCGUAGACCAUUUCUGCAAUCAUUGCAUUUGAUCCGGAAGUCAUCUAGAUGUUUCGUCACUGCUACCACUAUGAGAUCAUCCAUAUAGGCGAUUAGUUUCACGGAAUGUUGUUGCUGUAUUCUUAGCACUCUAUCAGGUUUCAUGGAAGGGGGCCGAAAACCGAACCUUGCGGUACAUUACUCGUAAUAGAGUAACUCUGGGAACCUUCACCUGUGUCGUAUCGCAAUAUCCUGUUGUCAAAAUAACUCAUAAUAAUAUUUAUGAGGUAUUGGGUGUAGGUAUUUCGUACAGGGCCUUUGCUGAUAUUUGCCCAUUUCGCAGAGUUAAAUGCAUUCUACACAUUCAGGGUAAUUAGCGCGCACUAUUUGUUUGUGCCACCUUUCUAUCUUUUGCCACUUAUGGAACAUUUAGCAAUAUCACUUCACUUUGUGCGUCAAUAGUAGAUUUUAUAUUUUAUAAAGCCGUUUUGUCUCUCUAAUAAACUGCCGGCUUUUUGGAUUGCUACCUCCAGCGGUUUCUUACUAUGCUUUCGUACACUUUACCAAAUGCGUCGAGAGUCCACAGAGGUCGAUAUGAUGAAGGGUCUUCAGGUGGCUUUUUCGGUUUUUUGGGAGUAGAACCAAACGCUGCACCUUCCAUGGGUCAGGGAACAUGUCUUCCAAUAUACACGCAUUGUACAUUUUAACGAACAAACUGGGUCUCAGAGUCAUCGCUUCUUUUAGACCUCUAUUUGGUAUACCAUCUAUUCCAGGCGCUUUGGAGUUUUUGACCACAGCAGGAAAUUCACUAUCCCAUGAAAAAAUAGCUGUAAGAGAAGGAUUUUUAUUAUAUGAUUAUUUACAAAAUUAUGGUUUCCCUUUUUACGAAAUGUACACUGUGAUUUUAACCUUUGGUAAAAGGAAAAAUUCCCUUCUAUUAUUUUAUAAUUUACAAAAUUAUGGUUUCUCCUUUUACGAAAUGUGCACUAUUAGUGAUUUUAACCUUUCGUAAAAGGAAAAGUCUUUGACAAUUCAAUCUUAAUAUUAAAAACAGUUCUGCGUAUUCUGCAUAAAAAUGAAUAUAGAAAAAUUGAAACAAAAAGAAUAAUCGUAUAAACGCAAGGAAGAUCUUACUAAAUAAAAGCGAUACUAUAAACUUUUCUCAUGUUCCUGGAUUUAUAAUUGAUUAUUUUUUUGGAAAAAAAGUUAAAAGGCGCAAUUAAUAGUUUGUGUUUUUGCUUUCGUUAAUGGAAUCAGCGAGUCGCAACUCUUUCAACUAAUACGAUGGAUACCGUUCACAAAAAAAUAUCAGAUUUACUCUUAUGGCUUGAAAAUUCUCCAAACGCUCACAAGUACUAUAGCUAUAAUGUUAUACUUAAUCAAAUAGUUUUUUGUAACGGAGACUUACGAAAAUAUGGAGAAAAAAAGCAAAGAAACUAAAUAAAAUUUGAAAAGUAUUAUAUUUUUACGUUGCUAA